rnacentral:lncRNA from 1 species
CGCACACUUCAUACUUAACACAAACACCUUAACACUUAAAUACACAAACACUUCACCCAUCAAUAAAUACUUCACAAACAAUUACACUUAACAAGCACUUAACUGAUACUUACAAAACAGUUCACAAAUAUUUAAUAAAUACUAACACUUGAACAUUACACUUCACACUUGAAAAAACAUUUUAACACUUAACUCUUAAACACACACUUUAAUACUUAACACUUAAAACACACACUUUAAUACUUAACACUUAAGCACCCAUUUUAACAAAUGUUUCACAAACACUAACACUUAAUAAAACACUUAAAAAUCACACAUUACACUUAACACCUAAACACCCAAACACACAAACACUUAACCACUUCACAUCACUUUACGCUUCAUACUACAUACUUCACAUUUAAAACAAAUACUUUCACACUUCAUACUUAAAUAAAUACUUUAACAUUUAACACUUAAACACAAACACACAAACAAUUAACAAGCACUACAACUAACAUUUACCACUUAACAUUACAGACUUUCACAUAAAUACUUAAACACCUAAACACUUAACACUUAAACACCCUUGCACCCUUACCACUGCACCCUGCACACACUUCACACUUCACACUUAAACACCCUUGUACCACUAAAUCACUUCACAACACUUCACACUCCACACUCCUUCACGCUUUACACAACACACAACGCACUUAACACUUAAACACCCUUGCAACACUACUUCACACUUCACGCUUCACACAACACAAAUAAUACUUAAACACCCUUGCACCACUGCACACUUCACACUUAUUUACACUUCACUUCUUCACACUUCCUCAAACUACUUCACGGUUCACGCUUCACCCUUCACACUUCAUCACAGUGUUACACACUUCACACUUUUUCGCACUUCUUCACACUUCGCACUUCUUCACACUUCACACUUCACACUUCACUCUUUACUCUUCACACUUCACACUUUAUACUUCACACUUCACACUCCAAUACUUCACCAAACACUUAACAAGCACCGAAUAAAACAUUUCAAAAACACUUUACAGACACUUAACAAAUAUUAACACUUAAAAAUCACACUUUACACUUAACACCUAAACACCCAAACACACAAACACUUAACCACUUCACACCACUUUAUACUUCAUACUACAUAUUUCACACUUAAAAACAAAUACUUUAACACUUCAUACUUAAAUAAACACAUUAACAUUUAACACCUGAACACAAAGACACAGAUACUUCACACUUCAAACUUCACAAAUACUAACAUUUAACAAGCACUACAAUUUAAACCGCACAUUUCAUACUUAACACAAACACCUUAACACUUAAAUACACAAACACUUCACCCAUCAAUAAAUACUUCACAAACAUUUACACUUAACAAGCACUUAACUAACACUUACAAAACACUUCACAAAUAUUAAAUAAAUACUAACACUUGAACAUCACACUUCACACUUGAAAAAGCACUUUAACACUUAACUCUUAAACACACACUUUAAUACUUAACACUUAAAACACACACUUUAAUACUUAACACUUAAGCACCCAUUUUAACAAAUGUUUCACAAACACUAACGCUUAAGCAUCACACUUCACACUUUCACACUUCCAAACUUAAAUACUUAACACACAAACACACUUGCACACUUCACACUUAAGAAACACUAACAAUUAAACAUCACACUUCACACUACAGACUUUCACAUAUAAACACUUAAAUACCUAAACACUUAAAAC